AGUCAGGUAACGAGCGAGACCCUCGUCCCUAGUUGCCAUCGGUAUUCUCAGGAAAGCCGGGCACUUUAGGGGGACCGCUGGCGCUAAGUCAGAGGAAAAAUAGGGCGACGGUAGGUCAGUAUGCCCCGAAAUCCCUGCGCUACACGCGGGUCACAAUCGCAGGACAAUGAGAUGCAACCCCGUAAGGGGAAAGCCAAACCCUUAAACCUGCGCUCGGUUCGGAUCGAGGGCUGUAACUCGCCCUCGUGAAGCUGGAAUCUCUAGUAAUCCGGUGCCAACACCGCGCGGUGAAAUACGUCCCUGCUCCUUGCACA
rnacentral:rRNA from 1 species